rnacentral:rRNA from 1 species
UACGUAGGGUGCGAGCGUUAAUCGGAAUUACUGGGCGUAAAGCGUGCGUAGGCGGUUCGUUAAGUCAGCUGUGAAAGCCCCGGGCUCAACCUGGGAACUGCGGUUGAAACUGGCGAACUAGAAUCUGGCAGAGGGGGGUGGAAUUCCACGUGUAGCAGUGAAAUGCGUAGAGAUGUGGAGGAACACCGAUGGCGAAGGGCAGCCUCCUGGGCUAGUACUGACGCUCAUGCACGAAAGCGUGGGGAGCAAACAGGG